rnacentral:rRNA from 1 species
GAGUUUGAUCGUGGCUCAGAUUGAACGCUGGCGGCAUGCCUUACACAUGCAAGUCGAACGGCAGCACGGGAGCUUGCUCCUGGUGGGCGAGUGGCGAACGGGUGAGUAAUGCAUCGGAACGUAUCCUGGAGUGGGGGAUAACGUAGCGAAAGUUACGCUAAUACCGCAUAUUCUGUGAGCAGGAAAGCGGGGGACCUUCGGGCCUCGCGCUCUUGGAGCGGCCGAUGUCGGAUUAGCUAGUUGGUGAGGUAAAGGCUCACCAAGGCGACGAUCCGUAGCAGGUCUGAGAGGAUGAUCUGCCACACUGGAACUGAGACACGGUCCAGACUCCUACGGGAGGCAGCAGUGGGGAAUUUUGGACAAUGGGGGCAACCCUGAUCCAGCCAUGCCGCGUGAGUGAAGAAGGCCUCGGUGUAAG